rnacentral:rRNA from 1 species
CAAGAUAGCCAUGCAUGUGUCAGUACAAACAAAAUUAAAGUGAAACCGCGAAUGGCUCAUUAAAUCAGCUAUGAUUCAUUGGAUCUGUACACCCAGUUUUCCUUGGAUAACUGUGGUAAUUCUAGAGCUAAUACAUGCACAUAUAGUCCCUAAUCCUGCUACUCCUUGUAAUGAUGAGAGUGGGAAAAGGGCGCUUUUAUUAGUAUCAAAACCGGUCGGGCUUCGGUCUGUAAACCUAUUUGAUGACUCUGGAUAACUUUUAGCUGAGCGCACGGUCUUUUGCACUGGCGCCGCUUCUUUCAAGUGUCUGCCUUAUCAGCUUUCGAUUGUAAGUUAUGUGCUUACAAUGGCUAUAACGGGUAACGGGGAAUCAGGGUUCGAUUCCGGAGAGGGAGCCUGAGAAACGGCUACCACAUCUAAGGAAGGCAGCAGGCACGCAAAUUACCCACUCCCAGUACGGGGAGGUAGUGACGAAAAAUAACGAUGCGAGACUCAUCCGAGGCCUCGCAAUCGGAAUGAGUACACUUUAAAUCCUUUAACGAGGAUCAAUUGGAGGGCAAGUCUGGUGCCAGCAGCCGCGGUAAUUCCAGCUCCAAUGGCGUAUAUUAAAGUUGUUGCGGUUAAAAAGCUCGUAGUUGGAUUUCAGUGUUGGACUGAUGAGUUUUUUUCACCGUCAGGUGAUUAAACAGAAUCAAGUUUCAAAACCUGCAAUCACAAUAAUUACAUUGUGUAUUGCUCAACUAGCUCACACGGGGUGCUCUUAAUCGAGUGUCCCGAGUGGCUGGUAUGUUUACUUUGAAAAAAUUAGAGUGCUCAGAGCAGGCUAAUAAUGGCCUGAAUGUCUAUGCAUGGAAUAAUAUAAGAGGACCUCGGUUUUAUGUUUUACCGCGUUUCUUUUGGAAACCCGAGGUAAUGAUUAACAGAACCAGAUGAGGGCAUUAGUACUGCGACGCAGGAUGUUUUCAUUAAUCAAGAACGAAAGUUAGAGGUUCGAAGGCGAUCAGAUACCGCCCUAGUUCUAACCAUAAACGAUGCUAACCAGCGAUCCGCCGUUGUUAUUCCCAUGACUCGGCGGGCAGCUUCUGGGAAACCAAAGUCUUUGAGUUCCGGGGGAAGUAUGGUUGCAAAUCUGAAACUUAAAGGAAUUGACGGAAGGGCACCACCAGGAGUGGAGCCUGCGGCUUAAUUUGACUCAACACGGGAAACCUCACCAGGCCCAGACACUGGAAGGAUUGACAGAUUGAGAGCUCUUUCUCGAUUCAGUGGGUGGUGGUGCAUGGCCGUUCUUAGUUGGUGGAGCGAUUUGUCUGGUUAAUUCCGAUAACGAACGAGACUCUGGCCUAUUAACUAGUCGACGGAUUUCCAAACCAUGCAUUGGUGUCCAGUUCGCAACAUUAUCUUCUUAGAGGGAUAAGCGGUAGUCCUAGCCGCACGAGAAUGAGCAAUAACAGGUCUGUGAUGCCCUUAGAUGUUCUGGGCCGCACGCGCGCUACACUGAAGGGAUCAGAAUGUUUUCCCCCUCCGAAAGGAGCGGGUAACCCGAUGAAACCCCUUCGUGAUAGGGAUUGGGGCUUGUAAUUAUUUCCCAUGAACGAGGAAUUCCCAGUAAGCGCAGAUCAUGAGUUUGCGUUGAUUGAGUCCCUGCCCUUUGUACACACCGCCCGUCGCUACUACCGAUUGAAUGAUUUAGUGAGGCCUUCGGACUGUCGCUCUUGUGCAUCUUGGCUUAAGUGCUAGUGCCUAGAGCUGACGGAAAGAUGUCCAAACUUGAUCAUUUAGAGGAAGUAAAAGUCGUAACAAGGUUUCC